UACGUAGGUGACAAGCGUUGUCCGGAUUUACUGGGCGUAAAGAGCGCGCAGGCGGUCGUUCAAGUCGCGUGUGAAAGCCCCCGGCUCAACUGGGGAGGGUCACGCGAUACUGAUCGACUCGAAGGCAGGAGAGGGAAGUGGAAUUCCCGGUGUAGUGGUGAAAUGCGUAGAUAUCGGGAGGAACACCAGUGGCGAAGGCGACUUCCUGGCCUGUUCUUGACGCUGAGGCGCGAAAGCUAGGGAGCAACGGG
rnacentral:rRNA from 1 species